CCUAUGUUCUCAUCGAAUGUGUAUUACAAGAACAAUGGCUUCAAAGAAAUUUUUGUGUUUUUGGAACGCUUUCUUGAUUGUUAUACUUCUUUUCUCUUCUGCAAUGGGAUCAAGGGAUCUGUCAGAGAUUGCCAGGCCUCGUAUGAUUCUUGAUGAGAAGGCUACUAGCACUCAAAGGGGUCCUGCAUUGGACGGCCAUUAUAGGGUUGCUCCCCGCAACGGCUAAUUAGCUGAAUUUCAUGACAUCUUUUAUUGCGUACACAAUAACGGAAAUAUUUAAUAGUUUAAUAUUGUAAUAUAUGCAUCUACAGUCAAUAAAUUUCUGUACGCAUUAGUAAGCGUUGCUACCUUGCUAUCCUGAUUUUUGCCUGGCGUUAUGGUGAAGCGUGGAGGCUGAUAUCAAAAGUUCGUGCUGCUGAAAGUUACUGUUACUAUUAGCUGUACCUUUGAUUAAGUUGUACUCAUUUUGGAUAGCCUUACAUCUUCUUGUAGCUGGCAAGAGAGAAAUAAAGGAGACGAAGAUAAAGUAUCUUUUAUUUUAUUAUGAAGAGUUUCAAUAGAUUUCUGUAAUUCCAUAUAAGAUUUAUCACUGAAAAUA